CGGGGAAUGAGAGAAUAGAUUCACCUUUGUGUCGCUUUUCAGAUCGUAUUUAAUUCCUUUCCGGUACUUUAGUGUCUUUGAACUUCUUUGUUACUAAGCCUAUAUUGAAUUUUUAAAAUUAAGAAAUCCGUGAUUUUACUUGCAGGCAUGACUGAUUAAUGGAAUUAUUUUACUUUUAUAUAGAAUAUGGACGGCACUCCAUUGCAGCAUGUGCAUGGUUGGACCUGUUGACAUUUUUAGAAACGCAUCUUGGUCUAUUAUACAGAGUAUUGUUGUACUGCUCCAAAGUGCUUGUUGACAGACUGAAACCACUUGCUUGCGGCUCAUAAGGUUCACUUCUUGAGAGCAGGCAGCUACAAUAUGGAAGGUCAACAAAUCCAGUAUACUUGAAAAGCAAGAAAGAAACACCAGAAAAUAUAAAAAAAAAAAAAAAAAAGAACAAGGGAACUUGAAUAAAAAAAACUUUUAAGGAUAGGAAUUCAGGAUUUAUUUAGAAACUAAAUAUAUUUUGAGAACAGCAGUGUUUGACUAAGCUCUGUUACUUUAAGAGAUAAUGUAUUAUCACAUUGGUUUUGUUAUUGUCGAACCCGCUUGCGGAAGCGAAGACAUAGUUGUCCAAAUGUCUAUUCGGUGUAUGUGCGUGCGUGCGUGCGUCGGAUUUGUUUGUCC